rnacentral:rRNA from 1 species
UACGAAGGGUGCAAGCGUUGUUCGGAUUUACUGGGCGUAAAGCGCGCGCAGGCGGAUCUGCAAGUCAGAUGUGAAAUCUCGGGGCUUAACUCCGAAAUUGCGUCUGAAACUGCAAAUCUAGAGUGUCGGAGAGGGAUGGGGAAUUUCCUGUGUAGGGGUAAAAUCCGUAGAGAUAGGAAGGAACACCAGAGGCGAAGGCGCCAUCCUGGAAGACAACUGACGCUGAGGCGCGAAAGCGUGGGGAGCAAACAGG